AACGAACGCUGGCGGCACGCCGAACACAUGCAAGUCGAACGAGAUUUUCGGUUCUAGGGGCGCACGGGUGCGUAACGCGUGGGAAUCUGCCUUUUGGUUCGGAAUAACAGGUGGAAACGACUGCUAAUACCGGAUGAUGACGAAAGUCCAAAGAUUUAUCGCCGGAGGAUGAGCCCGCGUAGGCAUAGCUAGUUGGUGUGGUAAAGGCGCACCAAGGCGACGAUCCUUAGCUGGUCUGGGAGGAUGAUCAGCCACACUGGGACUGAGACACGGCCCAGACUACUACGGGAGGCAGCAGUGGGGAAUAUUGGACAAUGGGCGAAAGCCUGAUCCAGCAAUGCCGCGUGAGUGAUGAAGGCCUUAGGGUUGUAAAACGCUUUUACCCGGGAGGAUAAUGACAGUACCGGGAGAAUAAGCUCCGGCUAACUCCGUGCCAGCCGCCGCCGUAAUAC
rnacentral:rRNA from 1 species